GAGGGAGAGAUGAGCUGUGUGUCAUCUGAAGGUUUUAGAUCCAGUCACUGUUCUCCACCCGAGCCGCUCCCAUCAGUUUUGUAUUCCAUGCGCGACUCAAAUUCUUUCUGUAUCAAUGCGCGUCAGCGCGAGGAGCUAAAAAGGACGUGAGAUGCGAGUGCAACGGUUAUAGCUGUCCGGCUAGCGCAUGUUUAUUUUGAAGCUGCUGUCGGUUAAUGAAGAUUUGAUGAAUGAACUCACGGCUCAGAUGGACUCUGUCCUGUCAAAAGUGAUAAGACUUUUCAGUUUUAUGGACGUCGCCAUCUUUGAAAUUACUUUUGUCAUCAUCGCUAUGGCUACUAGUAAGAGAAUGCAGGCUUGACUCUCGGUGCAAGUUGCUGUUUGAACGAGACAUUUCAAGACUCACACCUUUGCAGCGCGUUGAGCUCUCUUGGUCACCGUAGUUCACAGAUUGGCUUUGACGGUUGCAAUAUGGAGGACGGAUUAGCGGUAUAGCGGUCCAUUAGAAACAGCAACUAAUGAGGCAUCUACAGUAUGCAUAUCUACGCAUCCAGGACAGCUAGCACAGAUGCAGGUGAAGUUCAUCACGUACGUAUUCAGCACUCGGCUCCGCAGUGGGCCCGACCUGGGCAUAAUUUAUUGACUAAAGAUGGAGUCAAUAGAUCCUGAAGCACACUUAAACCCAGACAGCAGUGAUUACAAGGUGUUGAGCGCACGCCGCAAACUCCCUCCUCGCCCGUAUGUAUAGCUUACGUCUAUAAUAAAUGUUAUCUCUUCAUGAGAGGGGUAAGCUGUCAACUUGAUUAAGGACGCAGAUGAGCAUCUGAGUAUCUGGCCAAACACACUGAGAUAUGCAAAAAUACAGUCUGUUGUGUCGGGUUCUUGUUUGAAUGUAAUCGUCACUGCUUUUCUGCAUCGUUGCUUCUGGAUUUCAAUACAGCACAUUGAGUUACUCAGAGAACAGCACAGUUAUUAUGGUGGUAGUUAUUAAACAGCAUGGAUUCUGAACAUUAUUAAUGUUUAUGUAAUUGAAUAAGCAAAAUGCACAGCAAAUUUCUAGCAAUCAAAAACAGAGACAAAACUUCUAAUUUUCAUUGUAAAAGAUGCAAUUCAGCAGAUGCAGGUUGGAUUCAUUAUAGUGGCAAAAGUCCACUAUAAACGUGAAAGAAACAGUUGGUUCUACUUCUUCAGUUCUGUUCUUUUCUCAUUUAUUAAUGCACUGUUAUGAAAGCGUCAGGGUUCAUGGCUUCCACCUGAGCGCCCAAUCCUCUUUUGUCCUUUUAAAUGUUAUAAUUAGCUAGACAAGUGUGCGGCUUCUUCACUUGUCCUGUUAUCUUGUCCGUUAUCUUUGAACGGGUGUUAAAAACAGGCGCAGUUGUUUGUAACGAAUAUGUCUGCUUUCCCGGGCCGAUCCGAUGGCGCUGUAAACAUGACGCAGGUUAACAUGAGACCAUGUGGAACCUAACGCCCGCUGUGGGCGACUGCUCCUCAUCUCUGCUUGCAUAUCACAAGUUAAAAAGCUCAAAUUAUAUCACCUUUCCAGGGUAACUGCACUUCCAGUAGCCAGUCUCACCUUAGACUGACACUGAGCCAACCAGACAACAGACAUAGCAGUUACAGGAGGAGUAAGAGUAGAAAACAGUAAGUUAACAGUGACAGACAGAAAACUGCAGACACUCCCUACCUCUCCUCCAUAAAAGCCAUAUUAUUAUCACAUUUUGCAGCUCUUGUUCAUACGCCUUCCAUACGUAUUUGAACUCAUUUUCUUAUUCACACAAAUAUAAGUUUAUGAAACCCUGAAAUACAU